rnacentral:rRNA from 1 species
UCGAGAAUCAUUCACAAUGGGGGAAACCCUGAUGGUGCAACGCCGCGUGGAGGAUGACGGCCUUCGGGUUGUAAACUCCUGUCAUCUGGGAGUAAGCCUUGGGCGUUAAUAGCGUGCAAGGUUGAUAGUACCAGAAGAGGAAGGGACGGCUAACUUCGUGCCAGCAGCCGCGGUAAUACGAGGGUCCCAAGCGUUGUUCGGAAUCACUGGGCGUAAAGCGUGCGUAGGCGGCGCGGUAAGUCAGAUGUGAAAUCUUCGGGCUCAACCCGGAAACUGCAUCCGAUACUGCCGUGCUGGAGUAAUGGAGGGGUAGCUGGAAUUCUCGGUGUAGCAGUGAAAUGCGUAGAUAUCGAGAGGAACACUCGUGGCGAAGGCGAGCUACUGGACAUUUACUGACGCUGAGGCACGAAGGCCAGGGGAGCGAAAGGGAUUAGAUACCCCCGUAGUCC